GACGAACGCUGGCGGCGUGCUUAACACAUGCAAGUCGAACGGAAAGGCCCUGCUUUUGUGGGGUGCUCGAGUGGCGAACGGGUGAGUAACACGUGAGUAACCUGCCCUUGACUUUGGGAUAACUUCAGGAAACUGGGGCUAAUACCGUAUAGGAUCUCCUGCUGCAUGGUGGGGGUUGGAAAGUUUCGGCGGUUGGGGAUGGACUCGCGGCUUAUCAGCUUGUUGGUGGGGUAGUGGCUUACCAAGGCUUUGACGGGUAGCCGGCCUGAGAGGGUGACCGGCCACAUUGGGACUGAGAUACGGCCCAGACUCCUACGGGAGGCAGCAGUGGGGAAUAUUGCACAAUGGGCGGAAGCCUGAUGCGGCAACGCCGCGUGCGGGAUGACGGCCUUCGGGUUGUAAACCGCUUUCGCCUGUGACGAAGCGUGAGUGACGGUAAUGGGUAAAGAAGCACCGGCUAACUACGUG
rnacentral:rRNA from 1 species